rnacentral:rRNA from 1 species
GAUGAACGCUAGCGGGAGGCCUAACACAUGCAAGCCGAGCGGUAUGGAUAGCUUGCUAUCCAGAGAGCGGCGUACGGGUGCGUAACACGUGUGCAACCUACCUUUAUCUGGGGGAUAGCCUUUCGAAAGGAAGAUUAAUACCCCAUAAUAUAAUGAUUGGCAUCAAUUAUUAUUGAAAACUCCGGUGGAUAGAGAUGGGCACGCGCAAGAUUAGAUAGUUGGUGAGGUAACGGCUCACCAAGUCAAUGAUCUUUAGGGGUCCUGAGAGGGAGAUCCCCCACACUGGUACUGGGACACGGACCAGACUCCUACGGGAGGCAGCAGUGAGGAAUAUUGGACAAUGGGUGAGAGCCUGAUCCAGCCAUCCCGCGUGAAGGAUGACGGUCCUAUGGAUGGUAAACUUCUUUUGUACAGGGAUAAACCUACCCUCGGGAGGGUAGCUGAAGGUACUGUACGAAUAAGCACCGGCUAACUCCGUG